rnacentral:miRNA from 1 species
UCUCAAGUCUUAUCAUUGGAU